UACGGGGGGGGGCAAGCGUUGUUCGGAAUUACUGGGCGUAAAGGGCUCGUGGGCGGCCAACUAAGUCAGACGUGAAAUCCCCGGGCUUAACCUGGGAACUGCGUCUGAUACUGGAUGGCUUGAGUUUGGGAGAGGGAUGCGGAAUUCCAGGUGUAGCGGUGAAAUGCGUAGAUAUCUGGAGGAACACCGGUGGCGAAGGCGGCAUCCUGGACCAACACUGACGCUGAGUGAGCGAAAGCCAGGGGGAGCAAAACCGGGG
rnacentral:rRNA from 1 species